rnacentral:rRNA from 1 species
UGACAAAACAUAAGAGGUCCAGCCUGCCCAGUGAUAAAAUUCAACGGCCGCGGUACCCUAACCGUGCGAAGGUAGCAUAAUCACUUGUUCUUUAAAUGAGGACCUGUAUCAACGGCACUACGAGGGCUAUACUGUCUCCUCUUUCCAAUCAAUGAAACUGAUCUCCCCGUGAAGAAGCGGGGAUCAAAAUAUAAGACGAGAAGACCCCAUGGAGCUUUAAACUCACCAUACACCUCUGUGCCCCCACACCUUUAGACACAAGAGAUCUGCAUGUUGGUUUUAGGUUGGGGGGACCACGGAGCAUAACUUAACCUCCAUAACAAAUGGGCUAACACCCUUAUCCACGAGACACAACUCUAAGAAUUAUUAAACUAAUGCUUAUGACCCGAUAUUCGAUCAAUGAACCAAGUUACCCUGGGGAUAACAGCGCAAUCUACUUCAAGAGCCCAUAUCGACAAGUAGGU